rnacentral:lncRNA from 1 species
UGUAUAUUACUAUUGUGCUUAGAGGCUCCACUGGAGACCUUAGCUGCCCUAUAAUUAGACCUGCCUAAUAUAAUCAAAGCUGUUCUGCGAGUUCAGGGGCUACUCCCCACCAAGUGACAAGCUAAGACUGAGUGUAGCAGGAGUGACACAGCUAAGCCCUUUCUCCAAAGGCUUACAGCCUGGACAGGCAAGGCAGACAGAGACAGAUGGGCAGAACAAGGUAAGGGAGAAGGAAUGUUUUCAAGCAGUGUAGUGUAAGUGAUGAUGUCACAAGACUCUGGGGACAAACGAUAAAGACCUAUAAGGACAUGCCCCAGAGGGCUCAGACUCAGGAGAGGAUCAGCACUGUGGAGAGCAUUACUGCUGGGUGUUACUGCAAUCCAUCGAGGUGACAGAGGGAAUCUGGCACUGAGAGCUUCUCUUUAUAUCAUUGUAUAUUAAAAACUUCUGUGGAAGAAGCAGUCCUGUGUUCAUCCUUUUUGCUGUUCAACAACACAUGAGCAGAAACUUCAUGACCUCACUGUCUUCUUCUGGGCGAUCAGACUGGAGAUUUGUAAGAAAGACAGCCAGAAGCUGAAGGACAGUACAGACUGAUUGGACACAAGCAAGACUCCAAUGAAGCUGGGAGAAGCUAGGAUAAAAACAAGAUAGCCAAACCAGGCAAAGAAAUCAAUCCUCAGGAGUACAGGAUAUACAAACCUAGAGAACAGAACAGAAAAAGUGCUCUGGCUGGAAGUAUUAGCCCCAGAGCAUCCCCAGCACUGACAGGGAACCACACAGGACCUGCAUCACAUCUACAGCACAAAGCAAAGGUUCAGCUACUGGCUGGUGGGAAAGUGCACAAAACCAUUGUUGGGCAGCUCACAGCAGGGAAAGAAAAAACAGGUAAUCAAACAAUCCAGUGUGGGUUAAAAAACAGAGGCCAGGACACAAGGCAAAACUAAAAGAAAGAUGAUUAUUUGGAAGUCCCCCAAAGUAUGUAUGUCCACUGAUUUGGUUCUGCAAGCAUGUGGAGACAAGCCAUUCCCUUCCAAGUUGUCAUGCUCUCUUUAUAGUCUUCACUGGCCUUUCAGGAGGUUCGUAAUAGAUUUUUGAAGAGGAAAGGCUUGUACUGGACUAUUAUUAGUCAAUGGAAGGAGAAGAUAAAGGGAAAUGAACUUAUUUUUUUUAAUUCAGUGCCCAGAAUUAUGAUCUAGAUUCGUCUAAUUGUACUUGGAUCCAGAGAAUUAGUUCCAUCCAUUGUAACAAAUGGAACCAAUUGCAAAAUUUGGAUGUGGGUCAGUAUUAAGAAUCCAAGCCAAAGGUUGACAGCAGGCUUUGUUACAACUCCUAGUAUUUAAAGAGUAA